GCCAAAACACUAAUUAACUUAAAAAUCUUUUAUUACGUCAUCAUCUGCUGAACAAAAAUAAAGAGGUAUCUUGUUAUAUGGUGAUUUUUCCAAUAGAUCUAGCUUCGAUGUGGCUACUGAAACACCACGCACAAAGAAAGGAAAAAAAAAAUUUAAUAUCAGCCGCUAUAUAAAGAAAGCACUUGUUGCAAACGAAAGAUAUCAAAAACAAAAAUGCAUAACAGCUUUGACCUUGGCCACUGCUAAUGGAAGAAUCGCAAUAAAGACCAAUAUCAAUUCCAGUGGAAUUGGAUGAUAGACAAUAAACAAUAUUAUAAUUGAGAAAAUUUAUUAACCGUUAGAUCAAAGUCAUUUCACAUGUCACCAGUGACGGACUCUGCAAAUUUAUUAGUCAGUGGGGCUGAAAAUUGAAAGAUAGAAAAUUAAGAAACUACGUAAAAAAUGAAAAGAAACAAACAUUAGCUUUUAGAAGCUUUCUUUCAAAAUGAAAAAUAAUAGGAUUUUUAACUAACUAGAUUAUGAUAUUUUUUACAUGGCUUUAGAUACCUUACAUAAUUCUUUCACAGCCGUUUGAAGAAUAUUCAAUAGUUAUACAAAUAACAUGAUUUUAUUAUUUUAUAUUUUCACAACUGUUGGAUUUUUAUCAAAUGGUUAUGCAAAAGUUAUAUAACUUACAUAAUAAUGUAAGAUAACAAACUUCAUUUUAUAUAUAAAAAAGUAAAUUUAGGUGCAUUAUUUUUAACGGGAGGGACACUUGUCUUUCACCAAGGCUAUCAAUACAUAUCACCUUAUUUGAGAUCAAUCUUUUGUAGAUAAUAUUUAGGAUGUGUAAUAUUAUUUAUAAAGAAAUACAAAUACAACCAGAAUUAAAAAAAUCACUCAAUUUAUAUCUGUUGUUUGUCUAAAUUACUAGAAGGAGAAUGCUUUUUUGUGGAAGUUCAUUAGAAGCACUUUCCUGCUUUUCUUUAUAUAUAUAUAAAGACUAUACAUAUAUAUUUGCUUUAAAUAUUAAUGGUUCAAAAGUGUUGUUCAGACAAAACUCCAAUUAAAACCAGUAAAAGAUUUGCCCGGACCUCAACAUCGUAAUCAUAGCCUUGAACGGCAGGGCAGAUUAUGCUAUAAAGCAAUUAAAAUAGAUCAUUUGGAUAAUGGCUAAUUAUUAAACAAUAAUGAUAAUCAAAAUUAUGCGACGCCCACGUGAAGCAAAAGUUAUGGACGAUAUGAGCUUUUUAGAAUUUGUGGCUAUUUUUGGGGGGCACUUGUUUGAUGAUCCCGAUGAAAAUUCAUUCUUAUUAUAUUAUAGAGAAUUAUGUGAAGAACGUGCAUAUAAAAUCAAAAAGAAGAGAUUCUCAUGCCCGACAAUGUGAUGUGUUCAGUCAAAUAACGCAGCUCAGUCGGGACUCGGGUGGCAAACAAGCCCCACUUUCUAAAUUUUCUAAAGCAAUGCUAUGAACGUACCAUUUUACAAUGAGUAAUACUUUGGUUACAUAUAGAAUGUAUCACAACUGACAUGCUCGUUCAUAUAGGUUUUAAACUUAGAAUGUUGGCAUUGGUGAUGUAUAAUAAAACUAAUUAAUAUAUUUUAAAUCUUAAUUAGGUUUUAUAUGGGAUUGAGGUCGGAUAACUGUAACUUAGAAGUUAUAACACUAAAAUAUUUAGUAAAUACUAAUUACUGUAUUUUAGUUUCUUAUUUAUGCAGACUAUAAAUUAAUAAAGAUUUUUAAGGCCAAAAUUCACUACAAAAAGUUUUUAAAAAUUUAUUGCUUUCGGAUUAUGAAAUGUGUAUUGAUAAAUUAAAAAAAAAUGUACAUAAAUAAUUAAGAAAUUCAUCCAAUGCUUAUAGAAGAUGUGCUGAUAUUUUAAAAUUUUUUUACCACCCGUGCAUAUUUAUUUUACUAUAUACAGAUAAAAUUUAUUCAAUAUCUAUUCUUAUUCAGUAACUAACAAUCACAAUCUUAUAAAAAGAUUAAAACAGAACUCAUAUGAGUACUGAAUUCAAAUACAUAUAUAAUAAUAUGCACAUACGGAUGACUCAAAUAUGAUAAAAACAUGCAAUCAGUAAGAUGACAUCAACACAGAAAAUUAAAUCAAACUGGUUGCCUAGACCACGCCCAAGGUUUCAGAUCAUCAGAGAAAUUUUACAUCCACAAGUUUAUUAAUUUUUGAAAUUAAAUUUGUAAAAGUCUGUUGUCAUAGAUUGGAGAACAUGCAUCAUAUGGAAUAUUGAAUAUAUAAAUGGGUGGUCUAGAACUUCACCAAUAUUUCAGUGUAUGAAAAAAAAAUUUUUGUUAGAAAAGUGUAUAUAGCAUAUUCACAUGUAGCUGCCUACUUUCGAGUAAUCGUAGUAUAUUGAGAAGCUACUAUUUCUUUCACCCCAAAAAAAAAAAAAGAAAAAGAAAAAAAGAAAAGAUGGCCACUAAUAACCUGCUGACAUCUGCAUGCAGGGUUUGUUAUCAUGUGCCAAGUAAAAGGAAGAGGAGAAAUCUUUGGUGCUCUUAGACUAUUGCGUCUUUCUUAUUUAGUGCUUUGCUACAUGUAUGCUUCAACUAAUAAUAUGCAUACUGAUAGGUCCCAGUCAGAUGCACGCUAACAAUGACUAAAAAAGAUGAUAAUGUUGUUCUGCUUUUGGUGAGAACGGCCAGAGAUAAUUUAGUUUGAUAAUUCCUCUUCUUUUAUUCGCAGCAGAGAACUAAUUUAUAGUAGCUAACCUUACAAGUCUUUGAUUCCUAGCCAAUAAUAUCAGCUAGAUUAUAGUAAAAUAAAACAAGAAGAAAUAUUUAAAGAUAACUUAGAGACCGAAUCCAAAUCAAACAAGACCACCACGCUUUGAUUCUCUUCCAAACAGGAAACGAAUAUUUUGACGUGGUAAUUCUCCUGCUCUCGUUUUGACACUCAAUAAACUCAUCCUGCACGUGAAACACGGUCUGCAUGAAGCCAUGCAUGGCUUGCAUGAGCAACUUGCAUGAGCACAGCUUGGCUCCUUAUCAAUACCCCCUCGUGGAAGAGGACCCUUGUCCUCAAGGGUCAGCAAAGGAAUUAUUGUUGUAGCAAUGCCGUAUCUUCCCAAGUUGUUCUCUUUUGUUUUCUUCACCAUGUAGUUCCUCUGCAACUUCUUCACAAGUGAUCUCGUUGGUGUCGUUGUAGCUCUCGAGAAGUAGAAGUUGAGGCCCUUGACAUUUAUGACCCGCAGUGAAUCGUUCGUUGCAAGUGAAACACAGUCCCUGAGCUCGUCGUCGUUGCAUUUCAUCCCACGGUAAUCUUUUGACAGGCACGGUUGGUGAUGCUUGAGUAGGUGGCAAUGUUGGCGGUGUGCGGCUGGAGGGUGGCUGGAAUAAUCUCCGUUGGCGUGUUAUCUGGUCGUCUUUCAUACGAGCAAGGCUGAUGGCUUCCUUUAACGUACGUGGCCUGAACAUCCGUAUAUCCUCUGCAAUCUCCGGUUUCAAUCCUCCCAUGAAAGUUCCUACCAACGCUUUCUGUGACCACCUAUGAACUCGGUUUCCCAACCUCUCGAAUUUCUUCUGGUAUUCUCGCAGAGAACGUGUUUGUUCGACCCGAGACAGUGCUUCAUCAAAGUCUUCACAAUCCGUUGGUCCGAAGUGCGCCCAAAGCUCGUCAACAAAUGUUUCCCACGUAACCGGUUGGCCUUCUUCUUGGUAAGCCUUGCGCAUCCACUGCCACCAUUGAUUUGCUUCGCCCUCCAAGUGAUAUGACGCUACGACUACUUUUUGCUCAUCUGUGGUUUCUUGGUACUCAAAAUACUGCGUUACCCGAUUGAACCACUUCGUUGGGUCGUCGCCGGCAUAGCGGGGAAACUCCAACUUAGCAAUUCUUGUCGGCAACGGUGGUCGACGUCCUUCACUUUCCUUACGGAAUGGUCGUGAAGAUCCAAUGUGCUCGUUAGUGCCGCGACUGGCAGUGUCUCUGGUUGCACUAAAAGAUUCUACCAAUUUGCUCAGAGUGUCCUCCAGACGCUGCAACUUGUCAUUGAUCCCAAUUUCUAUUUGUUCCAUCUUGUUCUGUAAGUUACCGAUAUCAGCUUCAAUUCGUUCGAUGCGUUCCUUGUUGGUUGCCAUUAAUAGCUAGCUCUGAUACCAAUUGAUAGGUCCUAGUCAGAUGCACGCUAACAAUGACUAAAAAAAGAUGAUAAUGUUGUUCUGCUUUUGGUGAGAACGGCCAGAGAUAAUUUAGUUUGAUAAUUCUUCUUCUUUUAUUCGCAGUGGAGAACUAAUUUAUAGUAGCUAACCUUACAAGUCUUUGAUUCCUAGCCAACAAUAUCAGCUAGAUUAUAGUAAAAUAAAACAAGAAGAAAUAUUUAAAGAUAACUUAGAGACCGAAUCCAAAUCAAACAUGACCACCACGCUUUGAUUCUCUUCCAAACAGGAAACGAAUAUUUUGACGUGGUAAUUCUCCUGCUCUCGUUUUGACACUCAAUAAACUCAUCCUGCACGUGAAACACGGUCUGCAUGAAGCCAUGCAUGGCUUGCAUGAGCAACUUGCAUGAGCACAGCUUGGCUCCUUAUCACAUACUCAUGUGGUAAGUAGAAAGAGCAAUGCUUUUAGAGGACCAAAGAUCUUCUCAACUUCUCCAAAUCCAACAAAAGGAUCCUGUUUCCCAACAUCUUAUAGCCAACUCAUUUUAACAUAUUGUCGCCAUCUAUAGCUUGUCGCCAUCUAUAGCUGGUUUCACUAUACUUCUUUCGGAUAUAAGAGUAGCCAUAUAGGGGUUGGAAGGGGAAUGGUGUCAAAUCUUAAAUGAAUUAGGUAGAAAUUUUUACUGACAAAUUUGAUCCAUUUAUUAAUUGAAUCAUAACGUUAAAAUUUGAAUUUGAUCGAUUUUAUAAAUGAAUUGACAUUAUUUAAUUUGUUUAAUUCGUUGAUAUAGAGAGUAAUAAUAUAUAUAGCUACAAAUUCUUGUAUAAUUUUUUGUUUUUGCAUAAACUGAUGUGGUAUGAUUUAAUUAGUUGAUUUGGAUAUCUCUUGAUCCACAUAAUUUGUUUUUAUUAUUUUGUAUUUUUAUUCAACCAGUGAGUUAAUUCUAAAUCAGUUAAUUUGUUCAAGAGUUUGUACUUGUAUCAUCACUUAUCAGUAAAAGAAUCUUGUCGAGUUUUGACACAACACGAAUCAAUUAGAUUAGUUACAGAUGAAUAAAAUGAUUGGACCCAAAAUCGUUUCGUUUAACAAUUUUAAUUUAAGAGUAAUGCUAUCAUCAUGUUGAACUCGAUCGUCAGCUAUAUAUUGGGAUAGCUGGUCAUCAUCAAGCACCGAACUUUCUAUAUAUAUAUAUACAUGUUGGACCAAGAUAAGCAAAUAACCAAUCUUAAUCCCCAAGAUCCACUCGACUUAGCUUUAAUCAAAGAACUAAUUAAGAUCAACUAAUGCUACGUGGAACUAUUUAUCGAAAUCAACAGAUAUCAAACAAAAGAAACACAGAAAAACAAUCUCACAGCAACACAAGAGGGGUUAAGUGGUUCAGUCACGAAGUGACCUACAUCCACUGUGAAAGAGAGAGAGAGCCUUUACUGAUUCAGUGUACACAAGAUACAAGAUGCCUUAGAAAACUAUCACGCACUUCAACUCUACAACAAUGAAGUGAAUACCACUUAUAUACACGCUUGAAUUGCUCUAGAAACAACCCCCAGAAGCCAGCUCACCAGACCUGGGUUUGUUUGAAACAAACCCAGAAAUUUCCCGCUGAUCUCAACAGCAUUAACAGCCAUUCAAACUGGCUUCAAUACACGUGUAGAAGCUUCACUCAAAACGUAGCCUUCUUCAGUUGUUUAUAGUAAGUAAAGCAUGUGCAAUAUCACGUGCUUAACUUAUUCAUUUGGCUGAUGCUCCAGGCUUGUCAUACGUCUCAUUUAUGACACAUAACCUACAUAUCAUCCAGUCCUGAAACGCAAGACUGAUAUGUUGUUUUCAACUACAAACUUAGAUUUGCAGUUCACUUCUCAACAUUCUCCACCUUGAACCAAAUCUGUUACUUCUCUUUUUUCUCCAUCACCAUAUCUUCUGCAGCUUAGAUCCUGCAGACACUAGCUGAGUUCACACAGAACUCAAACUUGGCACCAGGUAAAGCUUUGGUUAACAUGUUUGCCACAUUGUCAUCAGUGUGUAUUUUCACCAAUUUUACCACUCAUUUUGACACUUCCAGCCUGACAAAAUGAAGCUUGAUGUCAAUGUGUUUAGUUUUCUCAUAGUGUAUCUGAUUUUUGCUUAAACAGAUAGCACUCUGACUAUCACAAUGAACUGCUAUUUGCCUCUGUUCAUACCCCGGUCAAUCACCAUUCCUUUAAGCCAAAUAGCUUCUUUUAUGGCAUCUGCUGCAGCAGUGUACUCGGCUUCAGUUGUUGACAAAGCAACAACAUUCUGCAAAGAAGCUUUCCAACUUAUAGUGCACCCACUCAGUCUGAACAGAUAUCCAGUCAAUGACCUCCUCUUAUCAAGGUCUCCAGCAUAGUCAGAAUCCACAAAACCUUCUACAUUGACCUCUUUCCUUUCAUCAGUUCCAUAUAUCAAACCAUAGUUUAUGGUGCCAUUAAGAUACCUCAGAAUCCAUAUCACAGCCUUCCAAUGUUCUUUCCCUGGAUUUGCCAUAUAUAUGCUUACUACACUCACUGCAUAAGACAAAUCAGGUCUGGUAAGAACCAUUGCAUACAUCAGACACCCUACUGCACUUGAAUAUAGAAUUGAGCUAGCUUCAGAUCUUCUAACAUCAGUUUUUGGACACUGUUGUGAUGACAAUCUGAAAUGAGCUGGUAGUGGAGUUUGAACUGGCUUGGCUUUUCCCAUUUCAAACCUUUCAAGCACUUUUCUGAUGUAAUUCUGUUGUGAUAAAAUCAGGGUGCCAUUCCUUCUAUCUCUAAUCAGCUCAACACCAAGGAUCUUCUUAGCCUCACCAAGAUCCUUCAUAUCAAAUGAACCCAUCAGCUGCUGUUUUAGCUUAUUUAUUUGAUCCAUAUGUUUACAUGCUAUCAGCAUGUCAUCAACAUAUAGUAACAAAUAAAUUUUUCUGUCAUCUCCCACAUCCUUAUGAUACACACAACAAUUAAAGGGACACCUCUGAAAACUGUUUUCAAGCAUAAACUUGUCAAACCUCAAGUACCAUUGUCUUGGGGAUUGCUUAAGCCCAUAUAAGGAUUUUCUGAGAUGACACACAUGAUCAGGUCUUCUAGGAUCUACAUAUCCUUCUAGUUGUUUCAUUACAAUCAUUUCAUUCAACUCACUAUGAAGAAAAGCAGUCUUAACAUCCAUCUGCUUAAGAUGCAUGUUAUUUACUGCUACCAGUGCUAGCAAGAUCCUUAAGGAGGUAUGCCUUACUACAGGAGAGAAGAUUUCUGUAUAAUCUAUACCUUCCUUUUGUGUGAAGCCUUUGGCUACAAGCCUGGCUUUGUAUCUCUUUGGCUCAACUUCUGGUAUACCGUCUUUAAUCUUGUAAACUCACUUACAGCCAACUACCUUCUUGUUUGGUGGUUUUUCAAUUAAAGUCCAAGUGUGAUUCUUGAACAGUGACUGCAUCUCCUCAUCUAUAGCAGCCUUCCAUUUUUCUGAUUCAUUUCCUCUUACAGCUUCUGAGUAUGUUUUUGGUUCAUCUGAGUCAAGUUCAUAUGCUGUUGUCAAUGCAAAUGCAAUCAGGUAUGCAUGUGCAUAUCUCUUAGGUGGUCUUAUAACCAUUCUUUCCAUGUCUCUCAUAAGUUGAUAACUCCUGUCACCUUGAUCAUCCUCAGAUUCAGUCUCUGAUUCAGAUAUAUUCCUCCCAGCUUCAGAUUCUGAUUCAACAAUGGUCUUCUGUUUUGCAACUAGAGUUGAUGACUCCACCUCAAACUGAGACUUGUGGUUCUCAAUCAUGUGGUGGUUGGAUUCAAUCUUUGAGGCUUCUGAGUGUUUGCACACUUCAGCCUCAUUGAAGACCACAUCCCUGCUGAUUAUGGCUUUUGGUGGCUUGAAAUUAGUGCACUAGAGCUUAUAUCAUUUUACCCAUUCUGGAUAGCCAAUAAACACACCCUUAAGAGCUCUAGGUUCCAGCUUCCCUUGUUUUGUGUGAGCAUAUGCAGGGCAUCCAAAUACCCUCAAGUUUGAGUAGUCAGCUGGCUUACCUGUCCAAAUCUCAAUUGGAGUUCUGAAGUUAAUUCUAGAAGAUGGACUCCUGUUAACAAUGUAAUAGGUAGUGGAUAUGGUUUUUGCCCAUAGUGACAUGGGUAGUCUUGAUUGAAUAAGCAUGUACCUUACCUUAUCAAUCAAGGUUCUGUUCAUCCUCUCAGCUAAUCCAUUUUGCUGAGGUGUAUGUCUCACUGUUUUGUGCCUUACAACUCCAUUCUCAGCACAGAAAACAUCAAACCUCUUAUUGCAAAAUUCUAACCCAUUGUCAGUUCUCAACCUUCUAACUUUUCUGUUGGUUUGUGUUUCAACCAAGGUCUUCCAGAUUUUGAAUUUCUCAAAAGCAUAAUCUUUGUUCUUUAACACAUAAACCCACACCAUCCUCGAAAAGUCAUCUAUUAGAGACAUGAAGUAUCUAGCUCCACCUAAAGAUGCUGUCUGUGUAGGCCCCCACAGAUCAGCAUGGAUAUAGUCUAGGGUUCCCUUUGAGUUAUGGACUCCAGUACAGAAUUUUACUCUUGAAGACUUGCCUAAUACACAUUCUUUACAAAACCUUAAAGUCUCUAUUUUGUCAUUCCCUAAGACUCCCUGCUUUGACAGUUCCCUCAGCCCUUUUUCACUCAUAUGGCCUAACCUUAAAUGCCACAUCAUUGUUUUAUCUAGACUCUGGUUUGAGACCCCAACAGCCCAUGUAACUGCUGUACCUUGAAGCACAUACAGGCCAUUGCUUAAGCUUCCCUUCAUUAAUACCAUUGACCCUCUCAUCACCUUUAAGGUACCUGAUUCCAGCUUAACAAGACAACCCAUUUUAUCUAGCAUGCCUAAGGAGAUUAGAUUCCUCUUCAGGUCAGGUACAUGUCAUACAUUUACCAACUCCCUUGUCAUACCAUCUAACAUUUUUAGUCUUAUUAUGCCUUUCCCAACUACCUUACAGAUUGCAUCAUUUCCCAUUACUACUACUCCCCCAUCAGAGGCUUCAUAGUUAAGAAACAAAUUUUUAUUUGGGCACAUAUGGAAUGAGCAACCAGAGUCUAGAACCCAAUUACCUCUGGUUUGGUCAUCGGUCACGAGUAGAACUCCAGCUGAGUCAUAUCUAUCAUAUUCUUGACUUUCUGAAGCAACAACAACAUCUCCAAUUUUCUCCCUUGUAUCUUUUGGCUUAUUUUUCCUUUCUGGGCAAUCCUUCUUGAAAUGACCUUCCUUGUGGCAGUGGAAGCAUUUCAUGUUCUUGGACCUGGAUUUGGAUAUUUUCUUCUUGCCCUUGUUGCUCUUUUUUUUUUCAGAUCUCCCUCUUGCCAUUAAACCUUCAGCUUCUCUUGCUUCCCUUUUUGUAGCAGCCUUGGAGCUCAAAGUUUCCUUCACAUAUACCAUUGUAAGAGUCUGCCUCCCAUACAUUAGUGUGUCAAUCAGAUGUUCAAAGGAGCUUGGUAAUGAGCACAACAAGAUCAUUGCUUUAUCUUCAUCAUCAAUCUUUACAUUUAUGUCUUCAAGAUCAAGAAUGAUCUUAUUGAAGGCAUCAAUGUGGUCUGUGAUCGAUGAUUCCUCUUCCAUUUGUAAUGUGUAAAGCUUUUUCUUGGUGCCUAAUCUCUUAGCCAUUGAUUUCUUGGUAUAUAAAUCUUCAAGCUUCUUCCAUAACCCUGCAGCUGUCAUCUCACCACCAACUUCUCUAAGUACCCCAUCACCCAGGCUCAAGAUUAUAGCACUAUGAACUCUGUCCAGCACAUCAGGUAGAUCAUCGUCAGAAACCAUUCUUGGCUUCUUUGAAGAUGAUUCUUCAACAAGAGCUUUAUCCAAACCUUGAUGCACAAGCAGGGCUCUCAUCUUGAGCCUCCACAGGUGAAAGUCAUUUUCACCUGUGAAUUUUUCCACCUCAAGCCUAGCUGAUCCCAUUUUCAAGAUUAAAGAAAGCAGUGACUGCUCUGAUACCAAUUUGUUGGACCAAGAUCAGCAAAUAACCAAUCUUAAUCCCCCAAGAUCCACUCGACUUAGCUUUAAUCAAAGAACUAAUUAAGAUCAACUAAUGCUACGUGGAACUAUUUAUCGAAAUCAACAGAUAUCAAACAAAAGAAACACAGAAAAACAAUCUCACAGCAACACAAGAGGGGUUAAGUGGUUCAGUCACGAAGUGACCUACAUCCACUGUGAAAGAGAGAGAGAGCCUUUACUGAUUCAGUGUACACAAGAUACAAGAUGCCUUAGAAAACUAUCAUGCACUUUAACUCUACAACAAUGAAAUGAAUACCACUUAUAUACACGCUUGAAUUGCUCUAGAAACAACCCCCAGAAGCCAGCUCACCAGACCUGGGUUUGUUUGAAACAAACCCAGAAAUUUCCCGCUGAUCUCAAUAGCAUUAACAACCAUUCAAACUGGCUUCAAUACACGUGUAGAAGCUUCACUCAAAACGCAGCCUUCUUCAGUCGUUUACAGUAAGUAAAGCAUGUGCAACAUCACGUGCUUAACUUAUUCAUUUGGCUGAUGCUCCAGGCUUGUCAUACGUCUCAUUUGUAACACAUAACCGACAUAUCAUCCAGUCCUGAAACGCAAGACUGAUAUGUCGCUUUCAACUACAAACUUAGAUUUGCAGUUCACUUCUCAACAAUAUAUAUGUAUGUAUGUAUGUAUGUAUGUAUGUAUGUAUGUAUGUAUGUAUGUAUGUAUGUGAGGCUUCUGUUUGAACAAAAUCUUUAGAUCUUAGAAUUGACACACAUGGGGCAUUAUUCAGAACUGCAACUAGGAAAUAAUUGAAACAAACCGAUUCUAUAUUAAUAUCAUAUAAGGCUUGAAAUUUUCUCAGGAUUUCAGCACAAAAUUUUUAUUGAAAAAAUAGGAGUUCACAUGGGCAUGUAAACAUUUCCGAUUCUGAAGAACAAGAAAGCCAAAAAGUCCCUUUAUUUUUAUUUUUAUUAUUUUUAAAGUUCGCUGACUUAAGUUUGAUAUACACAAUAUCCGUAUAACGGAAAUAUGCCGAAAAGUUUGAUAUACACAAUAUCCGUAUAACGGAAAUUUGCCUUCGGCAUAGCUCAAUUGGCGUUUGCCGUGCAUAAGCUUUAAAUACGCCGUCAACUAAAUUUGAAUUAGUAUUUAGUGGUUGAGAUUUCUCAUCGUCAUCUUAACUCUAAAAAUACAAAAAAAGAAAAAAGAAAAAUGGUGCAUGAUACAAAUUUAAUGGGAAAUGUAAGAUGUCUGAAGAAAACAAAAAUAAAUAUAUAAAUCAGAUUUGGUAAAAAUAAUACCUUUUCAUUGAUGUUACGAAAUGACAUAGAUAUUCAUGCUCUAGCUCUUGAAUCCACAAUUAUGGAAUCUUAAAUGGUCCACAAAAGACGCCCAAUAAAACUCAUAUCAUACAAAAUUCCUAGCCCUAAAAAGCACCAGAAGAAAUAGCACUUUCAGCCGAAAUUUUUUCACAAAGCUCCA
rnacentral:lncRNA from 1 species